rnacentral:rRNA from 1 species
CAAAGGAAUUGACGGGGGCCCGCACAAGCGGUGGAGUAUGUGGUUUAAUUCGAUGCAACGCGAAGAACCUUACCUGGUCUUGACAUCCCGGAGACCCUUAGGAAACUAGGGGGUGCUUCCAUCUGGAAGAAUCUGGAGACAGGUGCUGCAUGGCUGUCGUCAGCUCGUGUCGUGAGAUGUUGGGUUAAGUCCCGCAACGAGCGCAACCCUUGCCUUUAGUUGCCAGCAGUUCGGCUGGGCACUCUAAAGGGACUGCCGGUGUUAAACCGGAGGAAGGUGGGGAUGACGUCAAGUCCUCAUGGCCUUUAUGACCAGGGCUACACACGUACUACAAUGGCCGAUACAAAGGGUUGCCAAGCCGCGAGGUGGAGCUAAUCCCAUAAAACCGAUCGUAGUCCGGAUCGCAGUCUGCAACUCGACUGCGUGAAGUCGGAAUCGCUAGUAAUCGUGAAUCAGAAUGUCACGGUGAAUACGUUCCCGGGCCUU